AAGUCAAUGUCGCAGUGGUGGAACUCCUGACAAAGACCAUGUUUGUCAACGAUGUCAUGAAGAUGUCUCACCUCGGACAGACCAGUGGCGUGGAAGCUUUUCACAGUGGGGUGAAUCACUUUGUCCCAAAGAUGUACUACUUCUCGUACAAAGGAAUGAAAAGCAGAAUAAUUCUUGCUGCUAUGCAUUAUAAUGAAAAUGCUGGCAGACCACAGAAAGUGACAAAGGAAGGAAUACACUCCUACUGUAUCAUUUAUACCAAAUAUAAGAGUGGUGGGUAUUGUCUGAGAAAGAUACUGGUGGAUGCAACUUAUGACUAUGUGAAUGACUGCCUGUCAGAGGUGAUGAAACUGAUUGCCAUUCAAAAUAAGUACAGAACUGGUGAUGUGUGUGUCGACCCGCAAUUUUUGACAGCAGCACUGAACAGACCAGACCGGACAAGUCAACCGUUACUGCCGAGCACCAGACUCGAUUCCUCAGGAAAUAAAAAAA